UCCCCGUCCUGCAUUCUCAGAUGCGGCCACCGGGGGCGAAUGGAGCCAGACAGGAAGGAGCCUGGGACGUCGAGUGAAGUGAAGCAAGCAGCCGGCAGCAGUAUGAGAGGACACAGAGCGUACGUAUGCCUACUAUUUGAUACCUAUUCGGAGCAGCACAUUAACCUAGCCUGACUAUUGGAUCAGAACCAGAAUCAGAACAGUUGGCGCCCAACGUGGGGCCUGAAGGAUUGGACCUCCUUCUGGCAUACCCCCAGAGACUGAACCGGGAGAGACAAGCCAACGGACACCGGGACCGCGGUCUUAAUAAGAGAUCCUGACUCCCUAGAAGACAGCCACACUCUGAAACCAGGAGAGUGGGUAGUGGUCAAG